GACGAACGCUGGCGGCGUGCUUAACACAUGCAAGUCGAACGAUGAAGCCUAGCUUGCUAGGUGGAUUAGUGGCGAACGGGUGAGUAAUACGUGAGUAACCUACCUUUAACUCUGGGAUAAGCCCGGGAAACUGGGUCUAAUACCGGAUACGACCAAUCUCCGCAUGGGGUGUUGGUGGAAAGCGUUAUGUAGUGGUUAUAGAUGGGCUCACGGCCUAUCAGCUUGUUGGUGAGGUAACGGCUCACCAAGGCGACGACGGGUAGCCGGCCUGAGAGGGUGACCGGCCACACUGGGACUGAGACACGGCCCAGACUCCUACGGGAGGCAGCAGUGGGGAAUAUUGCACAAUGGGCGCAAGCCUGAUGCAGCGACGCCGCGUGAGGGAUGACGGCCUUCGGGUUGUAAACCUCUGUUAGCAGGGAAGAAGAGAGAUUGACGGUACCUGCAGAGAAAGCGCCGGCCAACUACGUG
rnacentral:rRNA from 1 species